UUUUGUUCUAAACAAUAUUCAGGUAAUCAAAUGCAUUUUUUAAUACAAUUGUUAUUGUUAUUCUUCUCAUAUUAAAAUGCUGUUCUUCCUCAAAGCUGUCGACAUAAAUUUGCGUUGUGCAGUUUGGAAUUAGGGACAUAUAACCAGGGACGUAGGCCAACUAAACCCACGCAAUCUGCACUAAUUCUCGACAUGCAUCUCUGGAUUUCGCUUACGAAAUUUGAUCAACAUUCUGGACUCGCAGUCAGCCGAGGAACAUGUCUGCCCUAGACAACUACUCCCAUUCCCAUUUCCAUCAGCAACCCAACUCCCACUCAGAUCGGCUCCUCCGCACUCAACGCUGCUGUUUGGGACCCUGAUUAUGAGCAGAUGAAUAUGUCUGGCGACAUCUAAUUUCUUAGGGAGUAUUUUUAGAGAGGAUUGUCUGGCUGCAUUUUCAGCUGCCAACUGCUGAUAUUCACAAUUAAGCACAUGACAUGGGAAUUUGCGUAAACAAUAUAUGUAUUGAACGAUAUGACGUUCUCGGCGGCAAUGAGAGACACCAUGGAGCGGCCAAUUGGGUCUCUGGUCCACUUUUGCCAAUGUCUGGCCGGCGGACUUAAUAGAUUUCUUUAUCUUCGACCGCCACAAGUUGCCAGAGAAGCGGCGAGGAAUGUUGGCAAAACAAAAGACGAUUCCGCCGACAAGUGAAAAUUAAUUUGCGUAAAUAUUUACGCAAAGUAUAAUUGGUAUUUUAGGUGCGCCUGCCUUACAACAGAACAAGGUAUGGAUCAUCCACUGAGUGGGGUGACUCAAUAUUAUUGUAAAAUUCGCAAAAUAAAUUAUUUGCGUAUGGAAACUCAAUUACUUACGUCAAGGAUAGUGACGUAGAAAAACGAAAUUGGAAUGUGCAGUGUCUGUGAAAAAUUAUCAGUUUAAGAGAUAUUUAUGUGGCUUUCAAGGAAAUCAAAUAACUCUCUGGUUAAAAAGAACGUUGUUAGUCCAAA